rnacentral:rRNA from 1 species
GCUUGCUGGUGGAUUAGUGGCGAACGGGUGAGUAACACGUGAGUAACCUGCCCUUGACUCUGGGAUAAGCCUGGGAAACUGGGUCUAAUACCGGAUAUGACUGUCUAUCGCAUGGUGGUUGGUGGAAAGCUUUUGUGGUUUUGGAUGGACUCGCGGCCUAUCAGCUUGUUGGUGGGGUAAUGGCCUACCAAGGCGACGACGGGUAGCCGGCCUGAGAGGGUGACCGGCCACACUGGGACUGAGACACGGCCCAGACUCCUACGGGAGGCAGCAGUGGGGAAUAUUGCACAAUGGGCGCAAGCCUGAUGCAGCGACGCCGCGUGAGGGAUGACGGCCUUCGGGUUGUAAACCUCUUUCAGUAGGGAAGAAGCCGCAAGGUGACGGUACCUGCAGAAGAAGCGCCGGCUAACUACGUGCCAGCAGCCGCGGUAAUACGUAGGGCGCAAGCGUUAUCCGGAAUUAUUGGGCGUAAAGAGCUCGUAGGCGGUUUGUCGCGUCUGCCGUGAAAGUCCGGGGCUCAACUCCGGAUCUGCGGUGGGUACGGGCAGACUAGAGUGAUGUAGGGGAGACUGGAAUUCCUGGUGUAGCGGUGAAAUGCGCAGAUAUCAGGAGGAACACCGAUGGCGAAGGCAGGUCUCUGGGCAUUAACUGACGCUGAGGAGCGAAAGCAUGGGGAGCGAACAGGAUUAGAUACCCUGGUAGUCCAUGCCGUAAACGUUGGGCACUAGGUGUGGGGGACAUUCCACGUUUUCCGCGCCGUAGCUAACGCAUUAAGUGCCCCGCCUGGGGAGUACGGCCGCAAGGCUAAAACUCAAAGGAAUUGACGGGGGCCCGCACAAGCGGCGGAGCAUGCGGAUUAAUUCGAUGCAACGCGAAGAACCUUACCAAGGCUUGACAUGAACCAGACCGGGCUGGAAACAGUUCUUCCCCUUUGGGGUUGGUUUACAGGUGGUGCAUGGUUGUCGUCAGCUCGUGUCGUGAGAUGUUGGGUUAAGUCCCGCAAC